GCUGGGCUAAGAAGGAAAUUGGUUUUUCUGGUCAACAAAGUUCCUUGAGUUAAGAGAGACAUUUAUGAAUUCAUCUUUCAAUAACAACUCUCUUUUAUUUUUCCCAGCCUUCCCUUGUAGUGAGCUCUUUCUUUUUCUUUCUGAAUCUUUCUAUUCUCACUUUUUCUUUUCUUUUCCGUUUGCUUUUUGCUUUUUUUUCUUUUUGAUUGCUCACUGCCUAAAGAAGUGGAUUGUAUCCUAG
rnacentral:lncRNA from 1 species